GGGGCAGGCCACUUCCUCCUCCGCAGGGGCUGCGCCCCAGAACCUGCUGGACGGGGGCGAGGACGGACGGACCAGAUGGGCAGAUCCUGGGCGACCCCCGGCCGACUCUGCCUCCUGGCAGCUCUGGGCCCGCGGCCUGGCCAGGCGCAGCCCUUGGCCCAGAGGAAGCCGUGUCUGGUGGGGCUGGGGGCCGCGCUGGCCUUCCUCUUCCUCCUCUUCGUCCUCGCCCUGGGCCACGCCAUCUGCUGCAGCGGGUCCAGCGACAGCGACAGAGAGAAGGAAGAGGAGACUGUGAGAAAGAAGGAGGAGGAGGAGGGAGAGGACGACUGGGGGCUGGAGCUGGAGGAGCUGGAGGAGCCUGGGAGCCAGGAGAGGGCGGCGAGCUCCUCCACCUGAAGGCUUCCCGCCCGCCUCCUCCAGGCAGCCCCCCAGGGAUGCCGCAGCGUCUCCUGCGCACCCUGGUCCUGGGGCCGGGAGAAUGACUCCAUCUGGGGUUCGGGGUAAAGUGUCCCUGGAUGAAGGCGGCUCAGGACCUGUCCCCCCCCCCGCCCCCCCGCAGUCCCUCCUGGAAGUCUCUUUGCGGGUUACCUCGCUGUUACACCCUCCUUGGGCCUCCACCUGGUCUUUCUUCUCGAGCCCGGACAAGGAGCUCCCCACAGCCCGCGGCCCCCCGGGUCUCAUCUCUGUCCCCCCUCUGCAUUGCAGACAUCUUUCUUUACCCGCUGCCUGAUUUCUUCUCCCACCCUGAACGUGAACGUGGAGCUGGCUGCCUGGGCGAGGAGGGCCCCUCCCACCACGCGCUGAGUUUCAGGGGACCGUCCUGGAAGCUGCGAGUCCCAGGGGCUGGGCUGUGGGUGCACAGCCUCGUCACCCCCUCUUCCAGUCCUGCACUCCCGGUGGGCGCUCCACGGUAAAGGAAUUGGAGUCCCAGCUUCCUUGCUGUGUGACCCCUGGCAAGUAACUUAACCUCUCUGUGCCUGUGUCCUGUCCUGUAAAAGGGGAGGAUGAUAACUAGGUCUUGCAUAAAUUGUCACGAGGAUUAAACGGAAUAAUGUCUAGAAAACUCCUGAGGGCAGAACCCAGAACUCAAAAGGUAUCAAAUAAAUGUCAGCUUUGGGGGUGCUGAAAUGGUGGCAAUGGGGGGAAGAGCGAAUGAGCCUCCCCCCUCAGACUUGGGGGGUCCCGAGGGUCAGAGGGUGGGUUUCCAGACCGCGGCUCCGGGAGCCUGGAAGUCUUCUGCCCCCGGGCUCCUCCUGCCAGGUCUGGGGGUGCCGGGUGGGGGGCGGUGCUGAGGGGGGAGGGAGGCAGGGGGAGGGGAGGUCUGGUUUGGACCCCUCCGUUUCGGCAGGGGCGGGACUUCCCCGCCAGGGGGAGGCUGCAGAGAUGAGGGGGGCGUUUUGGGGUUGUCACAAGCCUGUCCCCCCUUAUUUGGCACUCGGAUGGCAGACAGCCUGCCGCGCUGGGACAGCCGCCCACUGCUUCCCCGGGGCCAGAGGCUGGGAAACGCUGAGGCUUUCGGGAGAUCAAAGGCCACGUGGACCCCCCAGCCCGGCUGAGCCCCCCACCCCCAGAUGACCCCCCUCCGGACAGAGCCCCCCACCUCAUCGGAGCCCCCCACCCUCAGAUGACACCCCUCCAUAUGGAGCCCCCCACCCCAUCUGAGCCUCGCACCCCCAGAUGAUCCACC
rnacentral:lncRNA from 1 species